CGGGGGCCACAGCUGGGCAGCCGUUCCCUCUGCCGGGGGAGGCGCGCCGCUGCAAAAGCAGCAGCGUCCCAGGUUCCCGGGGGAGACGCCCCCGGGACCACCCGUCACCAACCUGCUUCGCCUUUUCCAUGCAGUGUUCCUGGCGCUUGCUCGAGUGGCAGGUAAGGACCGAGCACCUUCUGUGGGCCAGGAGCUGAAGACACAGCCUAGAACCCCCGGCCCCUGUCCGCAGGGAGCUUGCACAAUUUGCUGGCGCACACAGAUGACUCGCGUGAAUGCGGCUUGCAGAGGCUCUAGGGCAGCGCUGUCCAACAGGAGAGCCCCUCGUGUAAUUCGAUAUUUUCUGAAUAACCACAAUUAAAAGAUCGCUGCUGAGGGCAACUGGAGCUUGGCUAUGCCCAGAACUUUCAGAGGAGCCUGGAGAACCACCGUGCUGAGUUGCUACCAGUAGAUUAACGUGGAGGCCUGUUUUAUCUCUUGCUCCCAUCCUGCCUGGUUGAGGGUUGCCCCUCAGACUGUCCAUUCCUGAACUUGUAUGACCCCUGCCCCUGUGCCUCCUCUCCUUGGAGUCAGAGAAGCCCUGGGGCUGACAGCAAAGGACACAGGGCAUCUACUUGAGGACAUAUGGCAGAGAGAGAAAGAAGUUAGACAACACCGAAACAACAAUGUGGGGCAUUCUACAGGGCAAUUGAUCUAAUUUCUCCAGAAAUGUACUGACAUGAAAAGUAGGUGAGUUAUAGACGUAAGCGCCUAAUCUGCAAAAGUAAUAGGUGGACUUUGGAUCCUGACUCAAACACAUCGACAGUUGAAAUUUUUUUAGAUAGCAUAGGAACCUUGGAAUAUAGACCAGAUAUUAAAUGAUGACAGAGAAUAAUUAAUUUUGUUAAUUAUAAAAAAUGGCUAAGUUAAAGAAAAAUUAUUUAUUGGUAAUAGAUGCCUACUGAAGUAUGUAGGAUAAAAUGAUAUGAUUUUGGAUUUCUCUGUAACCAUUCCAGUAAAAAAAGAAAUGAAAAAGAAUAGAUGAAACACAGUUGGAAAAUUAUAGUAAUUUUCCAUGCUGAAUGGAGGGACUCGUGGCCUUGUUAUAUUAUUCUUACAACUCUUAUGUGUGUUCAGAAUUUUCCAUGAUAAAAGUAAAACCAGUAGGGUUAAUAAGUAUCGCUUUUUGCAAACAUCAGAAUGCAAAAUAUCAGUUUAACCCAUGAAUAGCGUGCACUGUGCUGAAAGAGAGUUGUGGGACAGGGGAGAUGCUUGUUUUUGCUGAGAGAUGAGAUUAUAUGGAAGCGAAAUUCCUUCUGACGGACCCCAGCAGCCAGAGAACAUAACAUAAAGUUAGGUUUACUGAGGGGUGCAGCAAGGGAGACUGCACCAGCCAGAGGAACCAAGAGGCACCUAGUGAAAUGAAGGAAUAGGCAGGGUUCUGGUAGGAUUUGGGGAGGGGUGGAUUUAGGUAACAUUUAAUGAAGCUGAGUUGGAGAGACUUAAAGCACAGCAAGUUUGUGUGUCAAACAGUUGCCAUUAAGCCUCGCCCAAGAAGCUAACGCAGGAUCCCCAAAGGGAAGGUAGAUGUGGAAUGUUGUGUCCAAAUCCCCUAGAUCUGGAUCUCUGCACUUGGGCGGCAAACUGAGACCACUUCACCAUGCCCAAAUGACCCUGGUGGCUCAGAUCUUGCAGCAAUAGAAGGGUGUUCCAUCUUACUGAUUUGACUUCAAACAGCGAAGGUUUUAGAGAACAAGUUUUCUCAGCACUACAUCCUUGAUGCUAAUUAACAAAGGCAGAUGCCAGAGGCUCACAGUGGCAACGUUAGCAGGAUUCAGUCUGCAUGUUCCUUCUCACAGACCUUCCUUCCAUGAGCCUUUACCGCAAGCUGUACAACACAGUUUAACUAAGAGUGAAUGACAACACAGGUACCAGUGAUAGUAAUAACACUCAAUGGUCACUGAGCAUUUACCGUUUUUCAGGUACUGGGCUAAACUACACUUACAAGACAUGCUUCAUUUCACUAUCCUAGACUAAGCAUUUAGACUCCAAAUGGAUCAGGGUAUUCAUACAUUUCCAGCACGGGCAAAUCUCAGCUGAGCCGAGAUCCCACCCUGGGUUUGCCCACUAAGUCUUCUGGUGGGUGUACCUUUUUCAAAAGGAACUGCUUCCUUGUUUUCCCAGAAUGUUUGCCAAGUAUGAUGAAUUCUGCUCCUUCCUAUCUUUUCUGUCUAAAACAUAUUUACCAAGUGUCCACAUUCGAAAGAUGCGAUCCUCAUCUCCAAUCUUUUCAUCCCAGUGUACUGUCUACCCUCUCCUGUCUGGGCCUGGCUCAGGCAAAGUGCAUUCCUUACUUAGAGGAAGGUAAGGAAAGGUAAGGAAGACUGCCUUUGAUUUGUUCAGGCAGAGGUGUCACCACACUCUCCCACAGCUGCCACCUGAGACACACACACACACACACACACACACACACACACACGCACAUGCACACGCGCUCCACGCCCCCCCCCAUCAUCCAGAGUCUCAGCUGCAGCAGUCCAAUCAAUGUCCUGAACUUUGCUGCCCCCUAGUGAUAGACCCAGAGAUUAUCACUGAUGCUUCAAAGGUUAUGCUCACAAGUAAAAUGAUUUUUUUCACCCAUUUUCCUUUCUUCGCUUUACUUUCGAAAACGUAUAAAGCAAGGUUAAUGCCUUGUUCAAAAGUAUGAACAAAUAUAUAGUACCAAGAGCUAUCAGGUUGGAUAUGCAAUUGCAACUAACACAUUUGCAUCCCUUUUGCUAGCAUAGGUAUAGACAUAAAAAUUCAUGAGCAUAAGGAUACAGUUUAUAAGGACUCGGUUUUAUAAUUUGACAGAUCUUGUCAAACUCAUUCAGUUGGUGAAACCAGCAACCUUGUAUCUAUUUAUUAGCCUAAGUUAUUUUCGUAACACACACAUGCACAGAAUAAACAGAAUAGGUGGAUGAGGAACAUUCCAGGCGGUACUUUUUCUUUACAGCAUUUGUAAGAUUGAUAUUACCUCUGUGUGGCCAUUUAGUUCGUUAGGUCUCUCUCUCCUCUAUAUAAAUGUGACCUUAUUUAGACAUAGGGUCUUUGCAGAUUUAAUCAAGUUAAGAUGAGUAAGCCUUAAUCCAACCUGGCUGGCAUCCUUGUGGGAGGGAAAUCUGGACACAGCUACAUGGGGCAACUACCAUGUGAAGACAGAGACAGACAGACACGAAGGGCCAUGUGAAAGAAAACGCCACCACACAGACACAAAGGGAAGGUGGCCACAUGAAGAUGCAGGCAGAUUAGUCAUGCUGCCACA